UGGGGAAUUUUGGACAAUGGGCGAAAGCCUGAUCCAGCAAUGCCGCGUGUGUGAAGAAGGCCUUCGGGUUGUAAAGCACUUUUGUCCGGAAAGAAAUCCUUGGCUCUAAUACAGUCGGGGGAUGACGGUACCGGAAGAAUAAGCACCGGCUAACUACGUGCCAGCAGCCGCGGUAAUACGUAGGGUGCAAGCGUUAAUCGGAAUUACUGGGCGUAAAGCGUGCGCAGGCGGUUUGCUAAGACCGAUGUGAAAUCCCCGGGCUCAACCUGGGAACUGCAUUGGUGACUGGCAGGCUAGAGUAUGGCAGAGGGGGGUAGAAUUCCACGUGUAGCAGUGAAAUGCGUAGAGAUGUGGAGGAAUACCGAUGGCGAAGGCAGCCCCCUGGGCCAAUACUGACGCUCAUGCACGAAAGCGUGGGGAGCAAAACAGGAUUAGAUACCCUGGGUAGUCCACGCCCUAAAACGAUGUCAACUAGUUGUUGGGGAUUCAUUUCCUUAGUAACGUAGCUAACGCGUGAAGUUGACCGCCUGGGGAGUACGGCCGCAAGGUUAAAACUUAAAUGAAUUGACGGGGUCAUAGCUGUUUCCU
rnacentral:rRNA from 1 species